UACGAAGGGGGCUAGCGUUGUUCGGAUUUACUGGGCGUAAAGCGCACGUAGGCGGCUUUGUAAGUUAGAGGUGAAAGCCCAGGGCUUAACCCUGGAAUUGCCUUUAAGACUGCAUCGCUAGAAUUGUGGAGAGGUAAGUGGAAUUCCGAGUGUAGAGGUGAAAUUCGUAGAUAUUCGGAAGAACACCAGUGGCGAAGGCGACUUACUGGACACAGUAUUGACGCUGAGGUGCGAAAGCGUGGGGAGCAAACAGG
rnacentral:rRNA from 1 species